rnacentral:tRNA from 1 species
GAGGGUAUAGCUCAGUAGUAGAGUGCCUGCUUAGCAUGCACGAGACCCUGGGUUCAGUCCCGGGUACCUCCA